rnacentral:rRNA from 1 species
UACGAAGGGUGCAAGCGUUACUCGGAAUUACUGGGCGUAAAGCGUGCGUAGGUGGUUUGUUAAGUCUGAUGUGAAAGCCCUGGGCUCAACCUGGGAAUUGCAUUGGAUACUGGCAGGCUAGAGUGCGGUAGAGGGUAGUGGAAUUCCGGGUGGAGUGGUGAAAUGCGUAGAGAUCCGGAGGAACACCAAAGGCGAAGGCAGUGUCCUGGGGAGUACCUGACG